rnacentral:rRNA from 1 species
GACAGAGGUGCCAAGCGUUAGGCGGAAUCACUGGGCUUAAAGCGUGUGUAGGCGGGUGCCUAAGUACCUUGUGAAAUCCCACGGCUCAACCGUGGAACUGCUGGGUAUACUGGGUGCCUUGGGUCAUCUAGGGGCUGCCGGAACAAAUGGUGGAGCGGUGAAAUGCGUAGAUAUCAUUUGGAACGCCAACGGCGAAAGCAGGCAGCUGGGGAUGCACCGACGCUGAGACACGAAAGCCAGGGGAGCAAGCGGG